GCUGGCCUGGCCUAGUGGUAUGAGUGUUGGACUAGGACUCUGGAGAGCAGGGUUCAAUCCCCCGCUCAGCC